rnacentral:rRNA from 1 species
UACGUAGGGUGCGAGCGUUAAUCGGAAUUACUGGGCGUAAAGGGUGCGCAGGCGGUUAUAUAAGACAGAUGUGAAAUCCCCGGGCUCAACCUGGGAACUGCGUUUGUGACUGUAUGACUAGAGUACGGUAGAGAGGGGUGGAAUUCCUGGUGUAGCAGUGAAAUGCGUAGAUAUCGGGAGGAACACCAAUGGCGAAGGCAGCUCGCUGGGACGUUACUGACGCUGAGACGCGAAAGCGUGGGGAGCAAACAGG